UCAGACCAAAGACACACUCAGACCACUCUCAGACCAGACUCUGACCAGUGAGGGUGUAGCAGUGGUUUUCUUUCGUCUAAUUAUGUACGAAGUGGUGCGGCUAUGGAAGUACGGCCCAGAACUACAGUGAUUUAGCCUCGGGUCCUGGCCGAGCUAGUGACAUCUGCUGUCGGGACCAUGACAACUGUGCCGACUAUAUUCCUGCUUUCCAAUCCAAGUAUGGGAUAUUCAACUUCAGACUCAAUGCCAUUUUGAGUUGCACCUGCGACGAGGCGUUCCGUUCAUGUUUGAAAACGAAUGGAGACGACAUGUCAACUGCUGUAGGGAUUUUCUUCUUUGAUAAACUGAAAGCUGUCUGUUUUACCAUUGACGGAAGAACACAGCAACUGGGGUGGAACUGAUUUGUCUUAUGGAAGAAAUUGUCAGAAAGGCCUAUUUUUAGUCUAGAUUUAAGGAUGCUGUAAGCCUUUGCCAAAAAUUCCUUAUUUACUGCCUUACAUACAUUCUUUUGGAGAACAGAUAAAUCUUCAGUGUUCAAUGACUAAAUUGAUUAACAUUUACACAUACCUGUAUGUUAUUUUACGGGAGACGCAUUCAGAACAACGGAGUAACAGAUCCGCAAAUAAAAUACGGCGACCCACUAAAAAGCUUGCCGCUUUAGUCCCGAUUAGUCACUGAAUAGAUUCCCCGCGGGGAUUACGCAACAA